UACGGGGGGAGCAAGCGUUGUUCGGAUUUACUGGGCGUAAAGGGCGCGUAGGCGGCCACCGCAAGUCGGUUGUGAAAUCUCUGGGCUUAACCCAGAAAGGUCAGCCGAUACUGCGGGGCUAGAGUGCAGAAGGGGCAACUGGAAUUCUCGGUGUAGCGGUGAAAUGCGUAGAUAUCGAGAGGAACACCUGCGGCGAAGGCGGGUUGCUGGGCUGGCACUGACGCUGAUGCGCGAAAGCUAGGGGAGCGAACGGG
rnacentral:rRNA from 1 species